rnacentral:rRNA from 1 species
GAUAAACGCUGGCGGCGCACAUAAGACAUGCAAGUCGAACGGAAGUCGUUAUAAAUGAAUUGAAGAUUUAUCUGACUGAAAUUUAUAACAAUGGCUUUAGUGGCGGACUGGUGAGUAACGCGUAAGAAACUCUGCCUAUUAGAGGGGAAUAACAAUGAGAAAUCAUUGCUAAUACCGCAUAAGCCCACGACCCGGCAUCGGGUUGAGGGAAAAGGAGCAAUCCGCUUUGAGAUGGCCUCGCGUCCGAUUAGCUAGUUGGUGAGGUAACGGCCCACCAAGGCGACGAUCGGUAGCCGGACUGAGAGGUUGAACGGCCACAUUGGGACUGAGACACGGCCCAG